CUACGGGGGGCUGCAGUGGGGAAUAUUGGGCAAUGGGCGAAAGCCUGACCCAGCAACGCCGCGUGAUUGAAGAAGGUCUUCGGAUUGUAAAAAUCUGUCCUUGGGGACGAAAAAAAUGACGGUACCCAAGGAGGAAGCCCCGGCUAACUACGUGCCAGCAGCCGCGGUAAUACGUAGGGGGCGAGCGUUGUCCGGAAUUACUGGGCGUAAAGGGUGCGCAGGCGGCGCUUUAAGUCAGAUGUGAAAUACCCAGGCUUAACCUGGGGGGUGCAUUUGAAACUGGAGUGCUUGAGUGCAGGAGAGGAAAGUGGAAUUCCUAGUGUAGCGGUGAAAUGCGUAGAUAUUAGGAGGAACACCAGUGGCGAAGGCGACUUUCUGGACUGUAACUGACGCUGAGACACGAAAGCGUGGGGAGCAAACAGGAUUAGAUACCCCGGUAGUC
rnacentral:rRNA from 1 species